UACAGAGGGUGCAAGCGUUAAUCGGAAUUACUGGGCGUAAAGCGUGCGUAGACGGUAGCGUAAGUCGGGUGUGAAAGCCCCGGGCUCAACCUGGGAAUUGCAUUCGAGACUGCUCUGCUAGGGUGCGGAAGAGGGGAGCGGAAUUUCCGGUGUAGCGGCGAAAUGCGUAGAUAUCGGAAGGAACACCAGUGGCGAAAGCGGCUCCCUGGUCCAGCACCGACGUUCAGGCACGAAAGCGUGGGGAGCAAACAGG
rnacentral:rRNA from 1 species